AACACCGUGAGAAAGGGAGCCUGGGCUCUGAUGAGCCGAGUGCAAGUCGCCUCUGAGCGAAAGCACAGAAGCUCACAGGAGGGCACCCACCUGCUGAGGGCAGGUUCAAUGCCUUCCGGGUUCACGGCAUGGCGGGGUUUUG
rnacentral:sRNA from 1 species